GUGUUAGAUUCUUCAAAUAUUUAGAAAGUCACAUUACAAAAUUAUGAUACUAAGUUGUCUUCCAAAUUAAAAAUGUUUUGUUGUUAGUUUCUCCCCCUAACUUCUAUCCUCUAUUCUUCUGUAUUGCUUUCUAAAUCAAAGAGGAAAUUAUUGCAUUCUAUUGCAAUAUUUCCUUUCAGAGACUGGUCAAGAUGUGAAGAUGGCUAUGUGGAAGAGAGCAUAUUGGGUUCUUGGUGAUCUUCUUGUGCUAAGUGCUUUCCCAAUCCAAUUGCUAAACUUGCUUAGUGCUCAGGGUAGGCCAGUGACUGUGAACUCCGAAUUUCAAAUCCCUGAUUGUGUUGGCUAUCAUAUCUGGCUUUUUCAUGAUUGUCUUGCUUUUCAUUUCUAACUUAUCCAUGGCUUUUCCUGCUGUAUAGCGCAAUUUUCACAUUCUUUGUUCAUCCUGUCUCGGGACCUUUUCUUAGGGUUCAACAAGAAGAGAUAUUGGCUUUUCUCUAGGCAAUCGUUUAGUAUAUCUGCAAAGGAGCACUCUAAUUCCUUCAGUAGUUCACUCACAUCAGUUCGUUCAUUGCACUCAAUGCUGUUGCAUAACUUGUACACUGCGAGGCCUGAUGCUGCUGCUUUCCAGUCAAUGGUGCCGUUGCAUCCAACACUCUUCCAGUGGUUUCAUUGGCCUUCUUUUUCUUUCUCAUCUUUAGUGAUAUAAUAUUGAAACUUCAGGAGGGUUUUACUUUUUGAGGUUAUCCAAUGCUGGACGAACGCAUCCAGGUGUUGCAUAUCUGAAUUUCCUAGCAAGAAGGUGGCCAUUCUUCAGUUUCCUUUGCAAGACACCGAAGUACCUUUCCGCUGCUUGGCUGGUGAUUCCGUCGGCUUCCUUGUCCGUCUCUUCAAUGAAAUCUAUCUUUUCCCAUGUCUGAGAAUAUGCCACCAAACAAUCCUUAGCGGCCUUUGGAAGAGAAGAAAGGAUGAGAGUCGGAACAGUAUUCCUUGUCGACUUCAGCAUGAAUUGUAGAGAGAUGAACGCUGAUACUGAGCAGAGACGCGGCUGUAAUUUUCCAUGACUUUCUACUCACGGCUGCGAAAUGCUCUUCCACAGGUACUUUAUCCGUUUGGGAUUUGUCAGGCUCUAUGCACCGCCGGCGUAGAUCAUAUUGUGGUCUCUUGUUAGCCAGAAAGUGUACCAGAUGUUCACACUUUUAUUCACCAUCUUGAUUGCCUUGUAUGAUUAGGUUGUUAGCCUUUGCAAAGGACUCCAGGCUACCCAACCAAAGUUCUUGCGGAGUCCCCCAUAACAUCUGAACGCCCUUUAUUAUUUUCCGUAUUUUGGAUAGUCUUCAAAUGCACAUAGUUCGUAUUUUCAUAAUCAUCAAACAUGCUAGUCCACAAGCUUUGCCGAAAGAAACCGUGAGCCGCUGCAGUCCAAUCACGGCAGACAAUAAUUUUCUUGGUGAACUGAGUGUAAUCUCCUCUUUGACAACCAGUCCUUAAUUUGAUUAUGGCUAGAAACAAUUGUCCGAAAUGUCUCAGGUUUUCUGUCCAGAAAUCCUCUAUCCUAAAACCGCUACGCUAGCUGUCCGAUUUUCAUCUUUUGCAUAAACCCACUGCUGUAGCCCACCUCCAAUCGAUACGAUGAAGAUGAAUACAGAUUGCAGCAAAGUGGUAGUAUAUCUUUAUAAUAGCAUAAAUGUGCCCAUCUUCACGGUGUGGAUAUUCCUAACCUCACCCAGGAUCGUAAUCACUGUUUGAAUUGUAACAAAGGAGGCCAAGGCCGAGCUGGCAAUGAUAUGUUAAAGGGAGUAAAUGCGAGCAACACUCCAUGCAUAUUCUACUGUCCGCCAGCAGUAUGAAUAAUGACGGUGGUGUUGUUCUUCUCCCUUAUCCUCUCUGAACAGUGAGUGCAUGUAAGUGCUGGGUGUUUCUCCUCCACUCUCUGCACAUCUUCAACUAUCCGCCAACAAGUCGAAUGGUGAUCUUUAUCUUGUCCGCCAACAGGAGUGAUCAUGAUGGCAACCCUCCUCCCUCUUCUGGGCUCUCUGAACAACUUUUUCAAAUACAAUGUAGGGGGUCUAUUCGGCAAUAGUUCUAAUAUAGUAUGUGUUUUGUCUUCUUUUAUCAUUGAUGUAAUAGUUUAGUAUUUUAGGCAUACCUUUAAGGGAAAGUAACAUGUAAUGCAGUAAGGAUAGGUGCACCAGGAAAGAAGUAUGCAUUGUAAUUACACUAAAUGAUGAAUAAUGGAAGCCAUAUAAAGUGCAUGCUACA